GCCCAGCACCGAAUCCUUCACCGUAUUGGUGACAGGAAAUGUGGUGUUUAGGCCGUACCUUGUGCUGAUACGUCUCUCCUCAAGUCCACUUGAUUGUGGCCUCAGGCCCAGAGAGGGUGUAAGGCCCGUGGAGGCGAGAUGUUCAGUUCCCGGUGCGUCCUUAGAGUCGGGUUGUUUGGGAAUGCAGCCCUAAGCGGGUGGUAAACUCCAUCCAAGGCUAAAUACUAGCACGAGUCCGAUAGCGAAGAAGUACCGCGAGGGAAAGUUGAAAAGAACUUUGAAGAGAGAGUUCAAGAGUACGUGAAACCGCUGAGAGGCAAACUGGUGGAGCUGAAAUGGCUUGGAGGAAUUCAGCCGUUGGGUAUCGUCAUAAUCGUGUUGUGUCUGAUCUCACGACAGCGCAGUCGGUUAACGUCCGUCCCAUAGGUGCACUUUCCUCUUUAGCCCAACCACGACCGGUAAGCGUCGAUUGUCUAUCYUGUCUGGAAGGUAGCGCCGGCUUUAGUCAGCGUGUUAUAGACAGACAUAUGGAGCGAUUGGUUUACUGGAACAUAACGCCUGCCAUUAUAUGGCUCAUACGUUGGCUGUCUUGUGGAUAAUUUCUGAUUUCACUACUUCGGUAGGGGCGUUGGUAUUGUUUGCCUUACGGUCGGCCUCUGUGAUUGGCGUUGAUAUAGUCUGUGGUUGUGAAGUAGGUAGUCCACCUGACCCGUCUUGAAACACGGACCAAGGAGUCUAACAUGUGCGCGAGUCAUUGGGUUCUACGAAACCUAAAGGCGCAGUGAAGGUGAAGAUCUACUUUGGUGGAUUGAGGUGGGAUGCUGGGUUACGUGCUCAGCCGCACCACCGGCCCGUUCCACAUGUAUCUCAUGGGAGCGGAGCAAGAGCGUACACGUUGGGACCCGAAAGAUGGUGAACUAUGCUUGCGCAGGCCGAAGCCAGAGGAAACUC
rnacentral:rRNA from 1 species